AGGUGAUGAAUGUCUCAGAAUCCUGUGGAAGAUGAAGAUUGAAGGGGAUGCCGAAGCCUGAAAGAGAGUGAGAGUUCGAGCCUCUUGCGAAAUGUGCGUUGCGUUUCUCUUUUCUAUUCUGAGAUUUUGUGAUACUGGUGGAGAGAGAUGAAUGAAUGAUGAUUGAGGAAUUUAUAGAGCCGAGAAUGGCUAACUGAAUCGGGUAAUUGUGCAGCUAUUAGGGCAAUAUUUAACUCUUUUAAAUUUCAUAAGGUAAGUUUGUUAGUAGUUAAAAUCUGUUAGAAAUCUCAGUUAUGAUUUUGGUUAGUCAACUGAAUGUUAGUUAGUCAUUGGAAAACUUCUAUUAGAUUUGUUAGUUUAUGAACUCUGUUAUGAUUUUUGUGUGAGCUGGAAAUACGUAGUUUGUGAUAUGUAAUUGAAUGGAAUCAUUUGAAUAUUAUUUGAGUUAAUUUCAAUGAAUUGGUGGUUAUUAGAUGCAGGAUAUGAUUGAGCUACUAUGAGCUGAUAGUGCAGGUUAGUUGGAUGAUGUUUGUCAGUGGAUUUUCUGUUAUGAAUGUAUGCUGGUUAGAAUUAUGAUUUUUCCACUUAUAAUUAAGUUGUGAACUAUUUCCGCAUUACUCGGCAGUUUUUUUUUUGUAUUAAGUUCAGUUAGAAAUAUGGAAUUAGCUCACUGCGUAAUUAAUUAAUUAGUGAUGGAGUGCCUUUGGAACUAUUUCGUGUUCUUGGAACUAUUUUGUGUUCUUGGAAUUAUGCAGAUGAAAAUUAAGUCGUGAUUCUACUUCUCCUUAUGCAGGGUUGAACUGAUUUUUUUUCUGUGGAAUUGAUUGUCGAUGUCGUGGCUGCUAGGAACUGAUGUAUGCUUGGAACUAGAUUGUAUUGGCUAGCCUGCAAUCUAUUGUGUUCACUUGUUGCAGUACCAUGGUUAUGAAGGUAUAUUCCGAUUGGUAUUUGUAUGUUUUGAUGUUGCUUUUGCCAUGUGGUUUGUGAGUAGAAUAUAACACUGCCUAUGUAAUGCUAAAUUGCCACUGAAUGCUGUUUGAUAGGAGAAAGAAUGCUAAUAUUUUGUUAGUCAUGUUUAUGAAUAGAUAAAUGUUAAUUGCUUUCAAUGAUGAUUUGCCUUCCUGUUGAAAUGAAAAUGUCACUGCCAGCUGGACUUCCAGAUGCAAUUUGAAGUUAAUUAGGCUAGAUAUGGCAAUGCAUCAAGUGUCAAAUGAUUACUAAAUCGUGGACUAUUUUCUUGCAGGAUGGGUCAUGUGAUUGGAUGACCAAGUGGCGAUGUAUAACACACUGGGAGAUCAAUGACGGGCUUCCCAAAUUCCAAGCUUCUUCCCUCUCGAUUCGAGCUAUCUAAUAGCAUGGGAUGGUGCCAACAUGAUGUAAUAAAAUUAGGACAUGGAUUAGCUUGUUGUUUUAUGUUGUAAUGGGAAAAAAACUCACUUAUAAUAAUUUAUGUCAAACAAUGUUUAUGUAAUGUAACUUAACUUGUGAUUCAAAAUUCAAGCAAAAUUCCACUUCUAAAUUCCACUUCCUGGUAUGAAAUGUUGUAUAACAUGUUAUGGUUUGGAAAUUGUUUUGUUGUAUUUGAA
rnacentral:lncRNA from 1 species